UACGUAGGGGGCAAGCGUUGUCCGGAUUUAUUGGGCGUAAAGCGCGUGUAGACGGCCACACAGGUCCGCUGUGAAAACUCGAGGCUCAACCUCGAGCUGUCGGUGGAAACCGUGUGGCUAGAGUCCGGAAGAGGAGACUGGAAUUCCCGGUGUAGCGGUGGAAUGCGCAGAUAUCGGGAGGAACACCCGUGGCGAAGGCGGAUCUCUGGGCCUGUCCUGACGCUGAGGCGCGAAAGCUAGGGGAGCGAACAGG
rnacentral:rRNA from 1 species